rnacentral:lncRNA from 1 species
UUAUUGACAAGGAGAAUUCCAAAUUCCAUGCCCUGGCUGACUUUCUUCCUCUCAUCUCUCUAGGAUAGUGGUUUGUUGACAUUUGAAGUGUUAUUUUCCCAGAGGGCAGUUUGCCUGGGCCCAUGGCACUGCCAGAAAUUGUAAGACCAAGCUGAAAAGGCACAAUGAAGUUUCCUCUUUGGCUCCAGGCACCUCCUGGAAUAAAAAUAGGUUUUUAGCAACAUCGGGCUGCAGGUUCAGAGAAUAGGUUGGCAUCAUCCCUUUGAGCAGUACCAUCUUGCUGCCAUCUCAGGAAAGAAUGGGGAGUAGGAUUUUUCCAAACCUAAUCCCCUUCUCGUACUUCUGUCCUCUGCAGCUUUCCCAGGUGGGUGGGUUGAAGGGGAACAGUGAUGCUGUAAGAGGGUCAAAACCACCCCUUGACAAACAAGGAGAAGAAUAUGAUUUGCUAGAGACCCACCUUUCCCAAGCUCUAGCUGUAGUUUCUCAAGCUUCUCCCUCCGCCCACAGGAAUGUCCUGCUGCACGGAGCGCUGUCUGCUCUUUUGUCAUCUUUGCUGCCUCCCUCCCAACCUUCCUUCCUUGAAAAGGCCCACCUUGGCUUCCAUUUCCAAAGAAUCUUGAAGCAGCUUGCCGGGCCACACUGAAGUUAUUCACAUUUCUGGGUGACGGCUCUUCUGCUGACCUCCUUGGCCAUGAUCCAGUGCAGCAGAUGUGACGCUGAGCACAUCACAAAGCAUCAUGUAAGACAGACCCCAGAACUGCUUGCCCUUUGUUCCUACCCCUUGGCAAAAGGCAAUGUUAACUGCUUGCUUUUGAGCAUGGCUCUAUCUCAGG